rnacentral:rRNA from 1 species
UACGGGGGGGGUAAGCGUUGUUCGGAAUUACUGGGCGUAAAGGGCUCGUAGGUGGCCAACUAAGUCAGACGUGAAAUCCCUCGGCUUAACCGGGGAACUGCGUCUGAUACUGGAUGGCUUGAGUGUGGGAGAGGGAUGCGGAAUUCCAGGUGUAGCGGUGAAAUGCGUAGAUAUCUGGAGGAACACCGGUGGCGAAGGCGGCAUCCUGGACCACGACUGACGCUGAGUGAGCGAAAGCCAGGGGAGCAAACGGG